CAGUGGAUUUCUGAUGUUAUCUUUUCCAUAAAUCCUAAUAACCGCUAAUCAGUGGUGAGAAGACAAGAGCGAGAAUCCCCAGGACAUACUGAAACAUGCAGAGGAAUGAUCUCAUUGCCUCCACCCAAAGAAAUGAAGGAAUGAACAGACAUCACUUCAAAGAGGGGCAGUUUUCUUAGGAUAAGGGUCAGCUCCUACCCAUUCAGCCCAAGGUAGGUACCAACAACCUUCAAUAUAUGGUAUAUGUGGUUCUG
rnacentral:lncRNA from 1 species